rnacentral:lncRNA from 1 species
CGGGGCUGGGGGCGGGGCUGGCGGGCCGUUCGAACGGCGCUGCCGCUGCUGGUGGCGCUCGGGCCGGGCUGCGGGCGUGUGCCCCCGGGCAGCCCAACACAACACAGCCCGGCCCGGCCCGGCCUGGCCUGGCCUCCCUCCUCUCCAGAGUGCCCGAGGGGCUGGCAAGGCUUCCUUCCCGGGGGAACAGGCCGCGCUGCUGCCGCCGGCUCCUCCGCCGCCGCUCCGCGACAGACAAUGGACGAGCAGGGUCCUGGGGAAACGUGGCCCCGCCACACUACGAAGCAGAUGAGCAUUUGGACCUGAGACAUCCACAUUCAGGGAGUGAACUCUUCCUGGCUGCAGGAACAAGAAUGUAUGAUUCUGUGCGCAGUGAGGUGAGCAAUUAAUGCUGCAUCGAUGUGUUCAUUAACAUUAGUUUAUUAACCAAGUGUAAGGACCCUGUACUCUCACUAACAGCUUCAGCUUGGCUUUUAGAAUAUUUGCAGUGCUAAUCCUAAACAGCAGAGGAUCAGAUAAUGCUGUGGUAUAAAAAUAACUCAAUAUAAGUUUCUGCAAUAGAAUAAUGUACAUUAAAUAUAUACAAUAUAGAAAGCAAUAAGAUGCCUUCCAUAUAAUAUUAUUUAUGCAAGUAUAUAGAAUUACCCGUUUGUAGUUUUGAAUGUGUAGGUAGAUUGAGGAGUUUAGGAACAAAGACAAUUUAAUGUUGUCAUAAAAAGGAAAAAUAAAACCCCUUUUUUCUGAGCA